UACGGAGGGGACUAGCGUUGCUCGGAAUUACUGGGCGUAAAGCGCACGUAGGCGGAUUUGUAAGUCAGGGGUGAAAUCCCGGGGCUCAACCUCGGAACUGCCUUUGAUACUGCAAAUCUCGAGUCCGGAAGAGGUGAGUGGAAUUCCUAGUGUAGAGGUGAAAUUCGCAGAUAUCAGGAAGAACACCGGUGGCGAAGGCGGCUCUCUGGGCCUUACCUGACGCUGAGGAGCGAAAGCGUGGGUAGCGAACAGG
rnacentral:rRNA from 1 species